AAGUGAGAAUGCCGGUGUGAGUAGCGAAAGACGGGUGAGAAUCCCGUCCACCGAUUGACUAAGGUUUCCAGAGGAAGGCUCGUCCGCUCUGGGUUAGUCGGGUCCUAAGCUGAGGCCGACAGGCGUAGGCGAUGGAUAACAGGUUGAUAUUCCUGUACCACCUAUAAUCGUUUUAAUCGAUGGGGGGACGCAGUAGGAUAGGCGAAGCGUGCGAUUGGAUUGCACGUCUAAGCAGUAAG
rnacentral:rRNA from 1 species